UUCUCGUAUCGGAUAGUUGCUGUCGGUUGCAAAAUUAGCAGAGGAAAGUCCGAACACACGCUUCAUUUAUUUGGAGCAGAAUGGUAGCGGGUAACGCCCGUCCGGAGUGAUCCGCGAGAUGCGAGCAGAGACGUCUUUAUCCGAAAGGAUGAGACACCCUUCGGGGUGAGUUCUCUUGGAAACAAGAGAGGUGAAACGGCUAAACUCUUACCGGUGUGCAAGGCCGUGUCUUGAUGCAAAUCAAGAAGUGCCGCUUGAGGAUUGCGGUAACGCAAUUCCCAGAUAAAUAAUUAUCGUCUGCUUUCGGGCAGAUACAGAAUUCGGCUUAUAGAUACGAGAACUGA
rnacentral:RNase_P_RNA from 1 species